GCCCAAACAGCAUCGGUAGCGAGGGUAUGCGUGGAAUAGGAUCCGCGAGCAGAGGAAGGGGCCCAUAUCCCCGCGCGUGCUCGGCGCCGGCAUCCUCUCUCAUCUCCGGCCGGCUCCCCUCACCGGCCGCCGCCACCGCCUACUCGCCGUCCCUUCUCAUCAGCGGAUCAAGCAGAGGUAGCAGCAGCGCCACCCCUCGCUCCUCGGCUCGCACCCAAUCCCCCCCGCCGCAACCCUAACCCUCCCCAAUCGGCCGCCGCCGACAUGUGUCCGCCGGAACCCAGCUGCCACUCGGCGCUGCUCGUCGACCUCGUCGUCAACGAAAUCCUCAUCCGCUGCCCGCCGGACGAGCCGGAGCGCCUCGCCCGCGCCUCCCUCGUGUGCAAGGAGUGGCACCGCGUCCUGGACGACCCCGACUUCCGCCGCCGCUACGGCGAGUUCCACCGGAGGGCGCCCCUGCUGGGAUUGCUCCACGACUACGGCGUCCUCUCUGAUCACCCCAUCAUCCAGUCCAGAUUUGUGCCCACCACGGCCUUCUCCACGCGGACGCCCCUGCACCGCAGGUUCCUGCUCGACUCACGCCACGGUCGCGCCCUCUAUGGAACCUACGUCCCGCCGCGAGCCUGCUUGGGCCAAGGUGGACGACAAGGACCCCAUCACCGACGCCGGCCGAGUGGAGGGUUCCGUUUCCCACCAGCACCAAGAGCUUGCUCUCUGGCGGCUGGAAUGCAGCAGUGCUCUGCGCCGCAGACGGCUGCGACCACGCCGUUGGUUGCCGGAGCAGCCCCUUCCUCAUUGCCGUCAUAGGCUUGGACUUCCAUUGGCGGCGCACGUUCGCCUGCCUCUACUCGUCGGAGGCAGGCACCUGGAGCCACUUCAGCUGCUUUGAGCACCCGGGCACUGUAGUCGUUGGCCGGGGCCGGGCCAGCAUCGUUUUGCAGAAUGCAAUAUAUUUUCCCUGCAAUAUAUAUAGGUUCUGGAAUCAUGCAGUACAAUGUGGCCGAGCUGGAGCUGUCAUGGAUCAACGCGCCUUCUGAAUUACCCAAACGCAGUGACUUUUGCCUUGUCAAGACAGAAGAUGGCAACCUGGGGUUUGUCAGCUACGACGCCGGUGGCCGUAUGUACAUGUGGAAAAGGGUAUUUGAUGCCAACGGAGCUGGGGAAUGGGCUCAACGCAGUGCCAUCAGUGAGCUGCUCCCUACUCGUGCCCUACCACCUUACCGCCGAUUCAUGGACGGUGCCAGAGUCGCUCUGUUCAGAACAUGCUCUGAAUUGCUUAUGGUUGAUCUCAGAUCACAUCGAGUCAGGAAGGUAAGCAUCGAGGGGUGCGAAGUCGAUAAGGUCAUUCCCUACAUGAGCUUUUACCGAAAAAGGCUUUCGCCCCGCUUUAUAAAUAAAGCAAACCGUCAAGAGCACACAUACACGGACUAGUCCAGCACACACACACCCAAGUCACAGAACAAGAAGUACAAAGGUUCUGCUGAGGGCACAGCUCAACAAGCCCAGCUACAUGAGCUUUUACACUCCACGUACUAGCCUAGAGCGGGCGCAGCAGCUUUUUCAAAAGGGCUCCAAGGCCAUGGUGGAACGAGACUUCGUCGACGUCGUAUGCUGCCUCCGCCGUGCCCAUGACAUCAGGUGAUGAUUCGUUCGUUCCACCCGCCCGAUAGGAGUUCUAUUUUGAUGCUAUUGAAACUUGUUCCUCAUAAUGUGUACAAGCACUAGGCUGUAGCUACAAGAGGAAACAAAAUGAUGCACAUAGUUAGCACCUUAUUGAUGGACGUGAUUGUGCAGUUAGUUUUCAUUUUGCUAUUCUAUAUCAGAUUGCACUAUCUUUCAUGGCCUUACAUUAUGCCCUUAAGGCCGUAACAAUGAUAAGCUGACAAUUUGACACCUAUCUCGGAAGUUGAUAUUCAAAGAAUGUGUGUUGUUAUCCUGUUACCCCAUAUGGUCAUAUACACUAGAAUAUAUUACUAUUAUCUACCUAUGCAGUUUAUAUUAUCAUACUCAUUACACUAUACAAAUACAACAUUUUCUCAUCCUCUGUUCAUACCUGUUGAAGACUUUACAUGGUAAGCUGCUAAUCAUUAAUGUACUCCUAAAUUUCGAAGUUAAUGGUCUUGGUCUGAGACUCGAAAAUAUUUGGAAUUAUCUGUUGAUUCUCAUCAUCAUUAUAUAGGAGAAAAUUCAUCAAAGUGUUUUUUUUUACUUUAGGGCCUGGAUUGGGUGUAUUUUUUUGUGUAAUCCCCAGUAUGUAGCUCAACCUUGAAAUAAAACACCAAGGAGCUUGCAAAAAUUACACUCAAUCAAAGAGCAAUGCAAUUUUUUGCUAUAAAUAGUAGAUGCUCUACGGCAAAUUUGGUUCUUUCGCCUUUAGUUGUCCAAAUAGCAUGCUUUGAAUGAGUUGCUUCUUUUACAAUAAUACUACACAUUAUUAUUUUUGAAAUUUUGUGUUACUGAAAUUACAUAAUAACAUCAGCAAUUGACAUUUACACCAGAAUUCUAUCAGGUUUACAUCUCAGUUCACCAAUAUAUUGAUUAAUGAUGAUCACCUUAUAUCGGUUGAGUUGGCUCAUACAUAUGUCAUCCAGCCAUGGCAAAUACUGAUAAUAGUCAUUGCCUCAUUGGUUAGGUCAAAACUCAAAUAGCAAAUAUCAGGAGGAUAGGAACCAUGAAAGUGACAAAGAUGAUGACAUGGUAGGAGAUGAAAAUUAUUCUGAUUUGGAUCUGGCAUGGAAAAUGCUGGAGAAUGCAAGGGCAAUAGUUGAGAAGAGCCCAAACCUCACUAUGAAGAAGGUUAAGGUCUUCUCUGCUCUGGCUGCAGUCCAUGGAAAGAGACAGUCUCAAUUAUCUUACACUAUAGUUACUGUCCUUAAUUUAGUUGACUAAUGGUCUUGAUACUCAUGGCCCCACAUCUGGUUUGCGGAAGACAUAGACAACUCACUCGAUGACUAUUUCAAAGCUUUAGCCAUCUUGGAUAAUUUGGUUGACCCAGAUAAUCGUCCGAUUGUUACACUGUAUCCUCCUGGUGGUAAUACUAGUAUCAAUUGUCUUAUCAUAUAGUGUUAUAAAACAGCUUACUGGCAACUCAAGUGCUGCAGUGCUUGCAUCCUUCUAAGGUUUUACGUGUAUAUUUUAGUCUGUUAAACUGAAUUUUAUGGCUAAAAGGGGUGCUUUUAAUAUUGUACCCAUCCGUGAUUCAGGUAAUUUGAGUUGAUUCGUAUCUUGGACAGGUACCUUCAUUUAUGUAUAUGUACCUGUACAUGUAGUUACGGUGUUAAACUCUGGUUAUAUCAUAGAAAAAGGAUCAGUUAUAUAAUGUUGUUAUCUUUCAUAUUUCGGUUAUUCUUCCUUUUAAUUUCCUUGAUUCAAUCAUGGAAACUGAAGGAUGUGUUCUGUCUCUGAACUGGCAUUCAAGAUUGGUGAUGCGAUUCCAUAUUGUGCAAAGUCUUUUUCGUUAUGUAAAUCACAUACAGUAUGCUAAACCUGAGAAUGGCCAAGGGUGAUAAUGGUGAUAAUGCAUCUUCUGCUAAAGGAGGUUCAGGGAAAUCUGCUUUAAAAGAUGUGAUGGAGUUGCUUACCGACAUAUUAACUGAACUUGAGAUGAAGCUUGAAGACCUGGAGCAAGAAAUGACAACACCAAGCUCUUUUACAAGUGAGGUUUUGAUUGCCUCAAAGGCAAGUGGAGGCCAGAGCGCUGGCAAUUUCAAGUCAAGAGCUGCAUCUUCUCCAACUAAAUCUUACCGCAGCAGCAACUGCAAGUACUAGGUGGCUGAAAGACGUCACCGUUGAGCCCUAUCUGGUGCGUAUUUUGGAGAUCUCUGAUCUUGUGUCAAGUAUGAAGGUUAUGAAGUUAAGGAUGGUGCUUUGGUCAGAGAGUGAGGCUAUACUUGGGAACAUGUUGACAUGAUGCUUCAGAAGUAUCCUGAACUCUUUCAAACAGAAAAUGGAUCGAGAGAAGCCCAUGAGAGCAAGUUUCGUCUACCCUUAGCGUAAUAAGUCAGAAAGGGUUGUGGCCUGAAGGUUGUCAACGGGAUCUUCAGAUGCUAUGUUUAUCCUUUUUGCCCUGGUUUACUUACUGCACAUGGGCAUGUACUUCUGUUGGGAUAGUGGAUGCUGAUUUCACUGAACUGUUUGUUUCAUAGUUUCAAGUAUGGACGUGAGAUGAACUAUAUAUAUAUAUAUAU